UGGGGUGUCGCCAAGCGGUAAGGCAGCGGACUCUGACUCCGUUAUUCCGAGGGUUCAAAUCCUUCCACCCCAACCA
rnacentral:tRNA from 3 species